rnacentral:rRNA from 1 species
AGAGUUUGAUCCUGGCUCAGAUUGAACGCUGGCGGAAUGCUUUACACAUGCAAGUCGAGCGGCAGCGCGGGGGCAACCCUGGCGGCGAGCGGCGAACGGGUGAGUAACACAUCGGAACGUACCUAGUAAUGGGGGAUAACUAACCGAAAGGUUGGCUAAUACCGCAUACGCCCUGAGGGGGAAAGCGGGGGAUCGUAAGACCUCGCGUUAUUGGAGCGGCCGAUGUCAGAUUAGCUAGUUGGUGAGGUAAAGGCUCACCAAGGCGACGAUCUGUAGCGGGUCUGAGAGGACGGCCCGCCACACUGGAACUGAGACACGGUCCAGACUCCUACGGGAGGCAGCAGUGGGGAAUUUUGGACAAUGGGGGCAACCCUGAUCCAGCCAUUCCGCGUGAGUGAAGAAGGCCUUCGGG